GUUUUAUAUUUUAUGUACUUGCACCAAAAAGUAAAAUAAGCCGUAAAAGCACAACCAUAUGGACAUACAAAUAUAAAUAGGCACAUGUACAUCAUUAAAAGUAGGGAUGCACCAAUAUAUCGGUGGCCGAAAUAUAUUGGCCAAAAAAGGCAUUAUCGUCAAAAUGCCGAAAUGAAAAAAUAA